GAGUUUGAUCCUGGCUCAGAACGAACGCUGGCGGCAGGCCUAACACAUGCAAGUCGAACGAUCCUUCGGGAUAGUGGCGCACGGGUGCGUAACGCGUGGGAAUAUACCCAUAGGUAAGGAGUAACGUAGAGAAAUUUGCGCUAAUACCUCAUAAUAACUUCGGUUCAAAGAUUUAUCGCCUAUGGAUUAGCCCGCGUCUGAUUAGGUAGUUGGUGAGGUAAUGGCUCACCAAGGCCGCGAUCCGUAGCUGGUCUGAGAGGAUGAUCAGCCACAUCGGGACUGAGACACGGCCCGAACUCCUACGGGAGGCAGCAGUGGGGAAUAUUGGACAAUGGGCGAAAGCCUGAUCCAGCCAUGCCGCGUGUGUGAAGAAGGCUUUCGGGUUGUAAAGCACUUUCAGUGGGGAAGAAAUCCUCGGGGCCAAUACCUUCGAGGGAGGACAUCACCCACAGAAGAAGCACCGGCUAACUCCGUGCCAGCAGCCGCGGUAA
rnacentral:rRNA from 1 species